rnacentral:rRNA from 1 species
UUUAUAUGAGAGUUUGAUCCUGGCUCAGGAUGAACGCUGGCGGCGUGCCUAAUACAUGCAAGUCGAACGAGU